rnacentral:tRNA from 1 species
UGGGGAUUAGCCAAGCGGUAAGGCAACGGGUUUUGAUCCCGUCAUGCGGGGGUUCGAAUCCCUCAUCCCCAACAA